rnacentral:lncRNA from 1 species
GGGGGAAAACAAUGAAUAAAACAGCCCAUGACUCGUAGCCACUUCAUACUCCGACUUUUCUUCCUGAAGGAGAGUAUAUAAAAGCUUCCAAAGAUGCUCCAGCCCUACUGCCUCUGUAGUUGCUAUGGACAAGAUACACUGAUACUCAAAAGCUGUUCUACCCUACCUGUCACCCUUUCAUAGUAUCCAGCCUGGUUAUUUGAACUAAACACUGAGGAAUUGUGUACUUUUUAAGUGAAUUUGACAGAAUUUGUUCUCAUGUUAGAAGUCCUACUGUGCAAGCUCUAUAUUUUUAAAUACCCAACCAGGAAAAGAAUCUGAAUGGUCAGACUCUAUGUCAUGUCUUAUGAAGAAACUGGAGGAAUUGAAUUUAGAUAUUGAAGAAGCUCUGAGUGCUGGCUCUUCUCCCUCCAGUACUCCUUCUGCCAAAAGGCACAAGCUACUGACUGAAAAAGCCCUUCAGACAUCCAAGAGCCAAUUUCACUACAAGAGAUGGAGAGGUCAUGUACCACAAAGGUUUUCCUGCCCAGACCAGCAACAUCAGGCCAAGAGAGUCAGGAACAAUCUGUUGUGGAACUGAUGGUAGGACACCAUUUGCUGUCUCAUGCAAAGUGCCCUGUUCAAGUGGAGACUGGCUUUUAUGGAGAUCAUCAAGGAAAGAGAUCUUGGAAAAAUAGAAGAGCAGGCUACCAGGAUCUAGAUUGUUCAUCUAGCCCAGUGUCAGCUGGAGCACGACCAAAAACUGAUCCAGGUGGGAAUCAAAACUACAUUCUCCCUUUCCUGGCUAUAGAAGACUUUGGGGGAGAAAAAUCCUCCAGCCUCUCUGUCCCGAGUGGAGUCUCUGAGAUGAAGGAUGGAAGAGAGCUGGCACUGGGGCACGUGCAGGUACGGUAGAGCCUGGCACU